GGGGGUCUGGCCCUGACAUCAUCAACAUCUGGAGGACCCAGGUGUUCAUGUGUCCAAUUCUGAUGUUGCCCAACAUCUGGAGGACCCAGGUGUUUGGGGGUCCGGCCCUGAUCUCAACAUCUGGAGGACCCAGGUGUUGAGGGAUCCGGCCCUGAUCUCAUCAACAUCUGGAGGACCGAGGGGUUGGGGGUCCGGCCC